rnacentral:rRNA from 1 species
GACGAACGCUGGCGGCGUGCUUAACACAUGCAAGUCGAACGGAAAGGCCCUGCUUUUGUUGGUUGCUCGAGUGGCGAACGGGUGAGUAACACGUGAGUAACCUGCCCUUGACUUUGGGAUAACUUCAGGAAACUGGGGCUAAUACCGGAUAUGAGCUCCUGCUGCAUGGUGGGGGUUGGAAAGUUUCGGCGGUGGGGGAUGGACUCGCGGCUUAUCAGCUUGUUGGUGGGGUAGUGGCUUACCAAGCCUUUGACGGGUAGCCGGCCUGAGAGGGUGACCGGCCCCCCUGGGCCUGAGAGACGGCCCAGACUCCAACGGGCGGCAGCAGUGGAGAAUCUUACACAAUGGGCCGAAGCCUGAGGUAACAACGCCGGGUGCGGGAUACCGGCCUUCGGGUUGUAAACCACUUUCGCCUGUGCCGAAGCGUGAGUGACGGUAAUGGGUAAAGAAGCACCGGCUAACUACGUG